rnacentral:miRNA from 1 species
UUUCUGUGUGUUCAAUGGAAGC